rnacentral:tRNA from 1 species
GGGCCAUUGGCGCAGCUGGGAGCGCGCUUCGUUCGCAACGAAGAGGUCGUGGGUUCGAAUCCCAUAUGGUCCA